UAUUUGGAUGUGAUUUAUGCCUGUGUGCAUGUUUGUUACUAAUUAUUGUGUUGUUUUAGAAAUAUUUAUAAUUUUUUUAAAAAAAUAGAUUUUUGGGAAAAUGAAUUCUUGAAAAUAUGAAAGUGAUUUUAAAAAUUCUUUUAAUUAUUUGAUAAUGAUAAUAAAUAUUUUUACGAGAUUUAUAAAAAUAUCUCGGUGAUGUUUUGAAAAUAUUUUGUGGCAAGUUAUACCGUAAAUUGUUAAAAAGCGGGUUACAAUUUCAAGCACCGCCUAUGUAUAUACACAAACAACAGUUCCUCUCUGUAUAGUCUCCCUCCCUCUCCUAAGUCUCUCUCAUCUCUUUCAAUUUCUACCGACUCUGUCUCUCACUCCAACAACAGUAUUGCUCCGCUUUCCCCCGAUAGUCGCCGCCGUCCGGUUUUACGAGCCACUGUUGAAUCAUCCCGCAGCAACGCCUUCGAUUUCAAUUGGUAUACGUAUACCUCAGUUCUGCUUUGUAAAUCAGUUGUUUAACCGUUUAUUUUUGUUUCAAUUUGAAUUAUUCAAUCGAUUGCUAUGUGUGUGUGAGCAGUUGAUUUGUGUGGGUAUAAACCGAGUUUAUGUGUAUGUAUUAACAGGUUGUAUAGUUGUGUUUAUAAAAACAAAUCAGUUGUGUGAUGUAUUUAUAUAUAUGUAUGUGUGUGUGUAUUUACAUACAUGGUAAUCGAAAUUACAUUUGGGAGAAUUGUGUUUAUAUGUAUGUAUAAUUGAUGUGUGUGUAUAAUCUGAUUUAUGUGACAUCUGUGUUGCUAUGUGUUAGUUGAGGCUAGUAGUAAAGUGGUUGAUUAAGGGUAUUUUAAGAGUUAAGUAGUGGUUUAAAGAUUUAGAACUAUUCAUACUUGAGUUGAAAGUUUUGGCCGUUGCUGGUCUGUCUUGCAGCAAAAAUCUGGGUCAAUUGAGUUGAGUUAUGUGCUUAAUAUUCCUGUGAUAAUGUGCUACUUGGAGUCUAGAUCAAGUACGAAAAAGAAUUUCAAAGCUUCGUUAAACGAGCUAAAAGAUAUGUAUGUUUUAGUACAAGGCGCGCUGAAAAUUCUGGGCAGUCUUGUCCUGUUCCAUGCCCUGUUUUGCUAUCUUAAACUCAAGCUUUGCUUUUGAAAUUUUUACUAUAGUUAGAUGUUAGUGUCUGGAUUAUGUCAUUAAAAUUUUAUACAAAUAGACCAGUUUUUCUAUUUAUUAAAAUUCUUAGCGUGGGGCUGGUUCUGCAGGACAGAUUCAGGUCCUGACUUGCAGGCCUUGUUUUACUCCCUUAAACAUUGAAUUUGCUUCUGAAAUUUUUGUAGUAGAUUUGAAUAAUGUUUAGGAAUGUCUCAUAAAAUUUUUAUAUUAAAAUGAUAAAUUUUCAUUUUAUUAAAAACACAGAGUGAGGACUAUUUGAACUAUUGUCUAGUUUUCUUUCUUUGUUAGUGCAUAUUCGGAGUUUAUGUUUGAUUGAUUACAUAUAAUUGAUAAAUGGAUUCUUGUAGUGAUGGUAGCUUGUUAUUUGUUUAGCUUGAUUUCAUGUUCGAAUAUAGAGGGCUUCAUGAGUUUUACUUGAUAUAUAUGGAAAGUUAUUUAAAAGUAAAAUUGAAAGAUGUAGUGAUUAAAGAUGAGUUUGACUUUUAAUAGUUAUCAUUAACUAUAUAAGUAAGAAUGAAUUGAGAUUAUACUUGCAUAACUUGAAUUAUAUGUUGAUGCAUAUAAAUUGUAUAGAUAUGAUUAGUGAAUAAAGGAUUUGGACGUUAGUUUGGAGUAUAAUAUGACAUUAAGUUGGGAAUUGAUAAUUACCGAAGUAUAUUUGUUGAGUGACUGAUCUUGUAUCUUGCUCUGUGUUUUAUUUGAUGUUAAAUUAGUAAUUGCUGAGUAUUGAGUUUGGAUUGAGUUGUUGAUUGCUACAUAGUAUAGAAAAACAGGUGGAUAGUCUGAUAAAUAAAGGAGAUGCUGCAGAAUUUUUGUUAGAAAUUAUAUAUGAUUUGCUUAUUGAAUGAUAUUUAAUAGUUAAUAGCAAAUUAGUAUAAUUAAACCGAAUUGUGUUUAUGUGUUAAGUGAUCACUGGUAACUUUUGGUAGCUAAAAGGUUAUGUGUUUAACUGUGUGUUACGUGUUUAACUGACUCAAGGUGUAUAUACAUUAUAUAAUUAUCUAUUCAUAAAUAUGCGAAGGGUAGAUGAUUACAGACUUUGGUAGUUAUUCCGAAUUAGUUAAUAUCGCCUGGCGACUGAAGUAUCGUUUAACUCUCGUAUAGAGUCGACUAAGACAUGCUUGGCAAGUACACUCAAAAGUAGUCGUAGAGUUCAGGAUAACCCGAUAAGGCGAAGUUGCUCCAAGAGAAAGUCUAUCAGAGUAUAGUCAGUACGGAAGUUCGCAGUAUUGAGGCAAGUAUUUCUACCUCUCUCUUAUAUUGGAAAGAUCAAGUAUACAGUUCUUUUAUUCAAAGAAAAGUGUUCAUAUCCAUAUCCCGUAUUUUAGAAUUUCUGUCAGUACUUUUACCUUUCUCUUGCAAAUUAGAAGCAAGUGCACGUUCCUUUUACUUACUGCAAAUGCAUGACUGAGGUGCGAUUUUGAUUUGAAAGGUUGACUUACCAAAUUGAUGCAUAUGAUUUCAAAAUCUCUAUAAAUGGUUUUCAUAACUCGGUUUAGUUCCUCUGUAAGGCUUAUCUGUUAUAAGUAUACUUCUAAUGGAAUAAACCUUUUCUUGAAAAUGUUAAAGCUGUAGUUUUGAAACCUAUAUUGGGUAGGUUUGCGUAAGAGGCCCAGACACCGGCCCAGCGUGAAAGGUGGCUCCUUCAGCCCGGAAUACCGGAUUUCGUAAUAUUUGUGUGGCCUAGCUUGAAAAAGACUAGGUUCCAUGGACUAUAGUGCGACUGAUCAUCGGCUAUAGCAUGGUGUCUUAUUUAAAAACCCAAUGAAACAAUGAAUAGUUUGAAAAAGAGAUUAUCUUAUGUUGAAAAGAUGAUUGAUUUCAUUUUUAACUCUACAGCUUUAAGUUCAUAUAUUGAUGCAGAACUGUUUUAUCAUCGUGUACCAUUUUACUCUUUUUAUAUCAUACCCUGGUACUGAACUGUUGAUUUACAACAUCAUUAUUUAAUCCAGAGUUUACUUUUACUUCAAACAUUCCGAUUCACUUAAAUUUGUAUAUCUUGUGGCUUUCACCUAUCAUAUUCUUGCUGAGCAUUAUUGCUCAUUCUUGCUAUUCCUUCUAACCCUUUUCAGCUAGGAAUAAAGAUGAUUCACUUAAGACUAGACAAGGAUUGCAAGUGGUUAAGUUUCAAGCAAAUGGUCAGGUAGAGUAUGCAGGACGAUGUCAUUAAGACUAGAUGCAGUUGGAGUUCUGCAAUUCAAUUCAGUUGGAAAUUAGAUUUGUUUAUUUGGUUAUCAGCUACUCUUCUUAUCGAGGUUUAGCUGAUAAUGUAGUUUAAUUUGUAAUAAAGAUUUAAUAGUUUUAGUUUCUGAUUUCAAUACUGUAACCUGUAUGCGAUCCUGUUUUCAGGGGGUGAAAUUGAUUUUCAAUUUGAAUCAUUUUUUAAAAAAAAUAUCCAGGUUCUGAAAUACUUGUUUUUAUUUUCUUUCAAAAAUACAGGUUUUAAAUUAUUUUUAUUUACACGUGGCACCAAAUCCAGACCCCCGGAUUUGAGGGCUGUCACACAAGAUCUUGAUUUAAAUUUAUAAUUAAAAUGAUAGUUUGAUUAAAUGUUCCAAAAUCAGUUGGGAUAAAUAUAUUUUUUGUAAAUUAACCAACUAUUAGCAUUUAAUAUUUUUUGUAUGAAUAUAUUAGUUAAAAAACUUUUGUGAAUGAGGGG
rnacentral:lncRNA from 1 species